UAGACGGAAGCCUGAGGGUUAGGGCAUCUAGCUGUUAACUAGGAGUUUGUGGGAUCGAGGCCCACCCGUUUAG
rnacentral:tRNA from 1 species